GAUCAUGGCUCAGGAUGAACGCUGGCGGCGUGCUUAACACAUGCAAGUCGAACGGGAAACAUUUUAUUGAAGCUUCGGCAGAUUUAGAUUGUUUCUAGUGGCGGACGGGUGAGUAACGCGUGGGUAACCUGCCUUAUACCGGGGGAUAACAGCCAGAAAUGACUGCUAAUACCGCAUAAGCGCACAGAACCGCAUGGUUCCGUGUGAAAAACUCCGGUGGUAUAAGAUGGACCCAGUCGGUGGUAUACG
rnacentral:rRNA from 1 species